GUGUUUGCGUUCAGAGUGAUGCACGCGUCCAAGACAGAGGUUUUUGCCAAGUGGGAGUGUCAGGGACUCACUCCUUAAACGAGAACCCCUCCACCCCUCUGGGAAGGCCUCAGGCGGGGGAGGUGUGGGCUGGCAAGUCCGAGGCUGUCGCUAGAGCUGGGGCCAGGAGUUCUGCCCCAUGCUGUCCUCAGCCCAGCGCCCUGGUUGGCUCGCCACCUCCUUCGGGCCCUUUUCUGAUUUUCUGGGGGCCCCGGCUCUGUCACACACGGGCUGGGCUGGGCUGGGCUCCCCCCCACCCCAGGGCAGGCAAGGGGGUGUUUGCCAGAGGCCCCGCGCUGAGCCUCUGAGAAGCGUGCACACUCCCUGUUGGACCAGGGAGGGUCAGAGACCCCCAGGAAGCAUGGGACAGCCUGGAAACACAGCUGCUAGGACAACUCCAGACGUGAGAGAGAGAUGCAUAGAGAUGAGCGUAUGAAAUCUGUAUAUAGAUGUAGAUGCUUUAUUUAGAUGUAUUACAGUUACACACUUGUGGCUUACGGAAAGUUCUAGAGUUGUAACCUGCUCUCAUCUCAUAGCCUCCUUCUGCUCUGUGUGUCGUGUUCUGCUCUGAGCCCAGUGCUUGGCACGUCGUGAAUCCUUGCAAAAUGAGUGUUGCUCCCUUAGCACACUGAACUCAAGGUCUAGACCGCAGUCCACCCUGACCUCAUGUUAGGAUGGUGUCUUUGGAUUCCGUGGCAAGGUUGCCGGGAAGCUCGUGUUUAUGUGAGGUGCAGGCCAUCUUUGCGAGGGUGGCAGGAUGGAUCCCCACGCAGGGCCAGGGCCAGUGGCCUGAGGCCCUUUGCUUGGGCUCCAGUCUGGUUUUUCUUCAGCCCCAGCCUGCCCAGGAUUGGGGCAACUGUCGUUACAUAAUGGGCCGGGGAAGGCCGUGGUUCCGUGCGCUCUGCUGUGCAUUUCUAUUGCUGGAGUAAGUGAGUGACUGCGUGAUGACGGGCCAGGCAGUAGCCAGAUUUUAAUGAAAAAGACUUGGCUGUCCCCAGCAUAGCGUCCUCCCAUUGGUUCUACUGGAUGAGCCAACUCAAUUUUUUUGGCCUCACGAGCAGCAUGUGGAACUUCCCAGCCAGGAGAGUGAGACCUGUGCCACAGCAGGGACUAGAGCCAUAGCAGUGACACCACCAGGUCCUUAACCCGUUGAGCUACUAGGAAACUCCCUAACUCAUUUAUGAUAGUCCUGCAUCGUUUGGUUGUCCAUUCGCGGUCUAAUCUCACUCCUCUCCAUUAGACGUUGACUCUGAUGCCAUGUGAAGUAUUGUUUUCCUUUAGAACCGGUCAUCGGUCACGUGUGCCACAGGAACUGAACGGGUAUUGCCUGGAAUCAGCCAGAGAGCAUCCGGAGAGGAUGCUUGCCUUAUGGUGCCUUGAAAUCGGGGUCCCAGCUGACUGGCUGGAGACCUGCAUGGUGGCCCACACUUGCUCUGUGGCGGACACCUGGAGUGCAAAAACUGAAACUAUUUCGGACUUCCCGCCCGCUUUCCAGGCUCCCCGCCUCCAGCGCUGUCCCUGGAAGCCAGCCUCACACCUCUGGGCGGUGAGACGCUGGCCACCCUGAGUGCAUCAUUUGCCCUUUGAAACUUUGGAUGCUCUUUAAGAGCUGUUUAAGCGCUGUGGCCGUAUCUUCACGGCACUGGUACACUGUCCUGAGGGAACGCAUUGCCUUUGGAUGCAAACAGAUAAGGACAGUUCGGGUGUUGGCUUCGAACGGGGCCCUCUGGCGGAGACGGCCUCUCCCGACGGGUUCAAUUAGCUGCUAGCGGUGAGGUGAACGGUCUCAGAUGGAGGUGGGAACCCUAGACAGCAGGUCUGGGCGCCCCUUGGCUGCUUGCAAAGGGAAGGCAGGAACCCAAGGCCACGGGGACACUGCGGCUCCAAGACCAGGAGGGCAGAGGGCAACAUCAGUCCCCUGCAAAGCGCAGCAUGAGCGGUGUCUUAGAACCUUCGCUUCGACUGUCUGCAAAACUUGCUCUGCCUUGCUUUGCAAGGCCGCCAGGCACCUUAAACAAAGACAUGCUGGGGACAGCAGGGUACCAGCGGUGACUCCCUGUGAACCGUUCAGAACAGGCGGGGACCCCACCUCUUCAACCCCCACCCCACCGCCACCACCACCCAGCCUGGGGGACGUGCGAUGCUGAGUCUGUGCCUUGUUAGGGAGCAAAGUGUGACAGGCUUGGUGUGUGUGUGACAAAGUUGUGUGUGGAAUUAAGUAGCAUGUGAGCUCUCGAGCCAGGAAGUUGAGGUCAGGGGGCUUCCGGCGGGCUGGUGGGAAGGACGGGGAGGUGGGGGUGUGUUCGGGAAGCCCAGGAGGGCAGGAGGCUUUCUGGAGGGCAGUCCUGGGCUAAGAGGUCAUCAGAACCAGCUUGUGGAGAGCCAGACGCCAGGCGGAGAAGUUUGGUCUCUGGCUGGUUCCUGAAGAGGAACAAUUUUUUUAAACAUAAAAGAAUGAUUCUAAGAUCAAGGAAGUGAAGAAGUGGAUGCAAAUGAUGACUUCUAGAGGCAUCUGGACGGUUCUGAUGCUCGUAGGGUGUCGACCUGCGGGAAGGGACGGCAGCCGUCCGCCAGGCACGAUGCACUGACAUGAGCAGCCCCCGCUGACACCCCCAGGAACCCCCACUUGCCUUGGUACUUAGCUGCUUUCCUCUCAUGCCAGCACCUCCCCCCCCCCUUGUGUCUGUGACUUCACACGCAGGGGCCGCCAGGAUUUGAAGCUUCCUGAUUCUUCAUCUUUUUUGACAGCCUUAGAGAAGAAGAAUAGGCAUACAAGCAACUGUGUUAUCUUUAAAGUGGACAAUUGGAUGCGUUUUUGUCAUGUGUGCACCUGUAAAGCUAUCCCAGCAGUGAAGCUGAUGAACACAGGUCCGUCCCCCCAAAAACCAACCAGUGCUGCGGGUGCUCCCUCCUUUCUGCCCCCCCCCAUCCCCACAGUCACAAAUAAAGCUGCUAUGAACAUGCGUGUG
rnacentral:lncRNA from 1 species